GGGGAAUAUUGCACAAUGGGCGCAAGCCUGAUGCAGCGACGCCGCGUGAGGGAUGACGGCCUUCGGGUUGUAAACCUCUUUCGCCAGGGACGAAGGGUGAUACUGACGGUACCUGGAGAAGAAGCACCGGCUAACUACGUGCCAGCAGCCGCGGUAAUACGUAGGGUGCGAGCGUUGUCCGGAAUUAUUGGGCGUAAAGAGCUCGUAGGCGGUGUGUCGCGUCUGCCGUGAAAACCUACAGCUUAACUGUGGGCGUGCGGUGGAUACGGGCAUCACUUGAGUUCGGCAGGGGAGACUGGAAUUCCUGGUGUAGCGGUGGAAUGCGCAGAUAUCAGGAGGAACACCGGUGGCGAAGGCGGGUCUCUGGGCCGAUACUGACGCUGAGGAGCGAAAGCGUGGGGAGCGAAC
rnacentral:rRNA from 1 species